ensembl:lincRNA
GAGUGUUUGGCUCUGCGGUUCUGCCCAGUCGGCCCAGUGUUUCUGCUUCCCCUGAGCAGAGUGACGCGGUCAGCAGAGCAGAUCCUCCGUCAGGGGUGUACGGACACGCUUUCUCCAGCAAACACACAGACUCGGACGCCAGUCCUGAACCACAGCAGCUGCAGGAGAAGGUGAAACUGUGUAAGUUUGCGAGUGAGAAGAUGCGUCAGCAGCGUGUGGAGCAGCAGGAGCCAAUUAAACGCGACGAUACACAUGAUGAAGAUGAAGACGAUGAUGUGAAAGGUGGAAGUGAACUACACUGAUGUGUGUGCGUGUGUUUGUAUGUGUGUGUGUGUGUGUGUGUGUGUGUGUGUGUCUGUAUGUUUGUGUGUGUCUGCUGACAGUAUGUGUGUGUGUAUGUGUGUGUGUGUCAGUAUAUUUGUAUGUUGACUGUGUGUGUGUGUGUGUGUGUGUUUGUGUCAGUAUAUUUGUGUAUGUGUGUGUGUGUGUGUUUGUGUCUGUAUAUUUGUAUGUUGACUGUCUGUGUGUGUGUGUGUGUGCGUGUGCGUGUGUGUUUGUGUGUUUGUGUCUGUAUAUUUGUGUGUUGACUGUGUGUGUGUGUGUCUGUCUGUCUGUCUGUCUGUAUAUUUGUGUUGACUGUGCGUAUGUGUGUGUGCGUGCGUGCGUGUGUGUGUGUGUGUGUGUCUGUCUGUCUGUCUGUCUGUAUAUUUGUGUUGACUGUGUGUGUAUGUGUGUGUUCUAGACGUCAACAUGAACGGCUGUGAGUCUCCCUCAGAUGAAUCUCCCUCCAGCCCUAACGGACCAAUCAAAAGCAUCAGCCCCGCCCAUCAGCCCGCCCCUCCGACUGGACCGCCCAAUAGAACCACAGUGCCGCGACUCAGACGAGCAUCUAGUCUGAACAGAAGCAGACCGGCUGCCACACACAGCUGCGAUGAGCUGGUUUCUGGCAGUCCUAAGAAGGAGUCUCAGGAUCAGCUGGAGCUGCGGCCGUUCUCUAAACCGGAGCUGGCGCUGACGCAAAGCUUCAGACUGACCGCUGCAGACGACUGGGAGAAGAAGAUCGAGGGCAUGAACAUGCUGCGCAGUCUGGCUCAGUAUCAUCCUGAUGUGCUGAUGAGCCGCAUUCAUGACGUGUGUCUCGCUCUCAUUCAGGAGGUGCGUAACCUGCGCUCCGGCGUGUCCCGUGUUGCCGUGGUGACCCUGGGCGAGAUGUUUGCGUCCCUGCAGAAGGGGAUGGAUCAGGAGCUGGACGCACCGGUGCGAGCGCUGCUGCAUAAAGCUGGAGAAUCCAACGGCUUCAUCCGCACAGACGUGGAGCGCGCGCUGGACAGCCUGACACAACACUGCACACACACACGCUGCAUACACGCACUGCUGGCCGGAGGACUCGGGUCAGGAAACACUCUCUCUCUCUCUGUGUGUGUGUGCUUACCUCCAGUGUUUAUGACUAUAAUGUGUGUGUGUGUGUUCUCUGACAGUCAUCUGAACGCAGCGGUGCGCAGGUGUACAGCUCAUCAUCUCAGUGUUCUGCUGGAGCGUGUGGGUGCUGCUCGCCUGCUGAGCGGCGCUAAAGACGUGACAGAGCGACUGCUGCCCGCCGUGGCCAAGCUGGCGCAGGACUCCAGUCAGGAGGCCAGGUACUUCGGCCGGCGGAUGCUGCUGUUUCUCUCCUCUCACCGUGACUUUGAUAAGAUGAUGGAGAAGUUUAUUCCUGCGAAAGACCUGCCGGCCCUCAGAGACGCCGUCUUCACCCUCAAAACCAAGGUGUGCACAAAACACACACUCAUCAGAUCACUACGGCGCUAA